ensembl:snoRNA
AAAGUACAUUUAAUAGGUCAUUUCAAAGCUGUGAAACCAGGAUCUCUUGAUACUGUGAUUGAACAUUAACGUUCUCCAUAGGAUGCCAUAGUCCUACUCAAUAAUGCCAUGCUUUCCUAAGGUAAUGUAAGA